rnacentral:lncRNA from 1 species
CGUUUCAAGUUUUUGAGCCCAAAGUUAGUUUCUUGACGCCUUAUCGGAUACCGGGUCAAGGAGACCUCGAAUUCAAAUUCCGACGAUUUCAUUGAGUCCGAAAUGUCAUUUUCAAGCUAGUAGCAUAUUUGGUUUGUGUUCGGGAAGUGCCAAAUGAGUUUUGGGUGAACUUUUAAGCUUCUUGGAUGCUUUGACACUAUUUCAGCAAAUUGUGGCAACUAAAGGGUUCAUUA